rnacentral:rRNA from 1 species
AAAAAGCACACCUGUUUGAGUGUCAUG